rnacentral:tRNA from 1 species
UGUAAUUCAGUGUUUGGACACGUGAAGCUUUGAUUUUCAAAAGUAUAAUUGUUUUAUAAGUUGCAA